rnacentral:rRNA from 1 species
CCGGAGGAAGGUGGGGAUGACGCCAAGUCAGCAUGGCCUUUAUAUCCUGGGCUACACACACGCUACAAUGGGAAGGGACAAUAGGUUGCGAAGCCGCGAGGCGGAGCCAAUCCAGCAAACUUCCCUCAGUUCAGAUUGCAGGCUGCAACUCGCCUGCAUGAAGUUGGAGUUGCUAGUAAACGCAGGUCAGCCAUACUGCGUUGAAUACGUUCCCGGGGCUU